GAUCCUGGCUCAGGACGAACGCUGGCGGCGUGCCUAAUACAUGCAAGUAGAACGCACAGUUUAUACCGUAGCUUGCUACACCAUAGACUGUGAGUUGCGAACGGGUGAGUAACGCGUAGGUAACCUGCCUGGUAGCGGGGGAUAACUAUUGGAAACGAUAGCUAAUACCGCAUAAUAUUAAUUAUUGCGUGAUAAUUAAUUGAAAGGUGCAAUUGCACCACUACCAGAUGGACCUGCGUUG
rnacentral:rRNA from 1 species